rnacentral:rRNA from 1 species
GAUGAACGCUGGCGGCGUGCUUAACACAUGCAAGUCGAACGGAAAGGCCUCUGCUUGCAGGGGUACUCGAGUGGCGAACGGGUGAGUAACACGUGGGUGAUCUGCCCUGCACUUCGGGAUAAGCCUGGGAAACUGGGUCUAAUACCGGAUAGGACAAUGGUUUGGAUGCCGUUGUGGAAAGUUUUUCGGUGUGGGAUGAGCUCGCGGCCUAUCAGCUUGUUGGUGGGGUAAUGGCCUACCAAGGCGUCGACGGGUAGCCGGCCUGAGAGGGUGUACGGCCACAUUGGGACUGAGAUACGGCCCAGACUCCUACGGGAGGCAGCAGUGGGGAAUAUUGCACAAUGGGCGCAAGCCUGAUGCAGCGACGCCGCGUGGGGGAUGACGGCCUUCGGGUUGUAAACUCCUUUCGCUAGGGACGAGGCGCAAGUGACGGUACCUGGAGAAGAAGCACCGGCUAACUACGUG